UGCUUGGGAAUAUGCCUUUGAGUGGGGGACAACAGUUGGAAACGACUGCUAAUACCGCAUAACGUCUACGGACCAAAGAGGGGGAUCUUCGGACCUCUCGCUCAUUGAUUAGCCCAAGUGAGAUUAGCUAGUUAGUAAGGUAAUGGCUUACCAAGGCGACGAUCUCUAGCUGGUUUGAGAGGAUGAUCAGCCACACUGGGACUGAGACACGGCCCAGACUCCUACGGGAGGCAGCAGUGGGGAAUAUUGCACAAUGGGGGAAACCCUGAUGCAGCCAUGCCGCGUGUGUGAAGAAGGCUC
rnacentral:rRNA from 1 species